GCCCUUGUAACUCAGCAGGUAGAGUACUUGCAUGGUAAGCAAGAAGUCACCGGUUCAAGUCCGGUCAAGGGCUCCA
rnacentral:tRNA from 1 species